UCUGCUCAAUGAUUUUUUAAAUUGCUGUGGUAUUUUGACUAUACGAAGGUAUUGAAAUAAGAUUUUAAAUGAGUGCUAAGAGAAUGGUUGAACAAUUAAAGACUUUCUUUAAUUAAAAAAUUAAAUUUAAUUUUUUAAAGCGCAAAAGCAAAAAUGAAAAUUUGGGACAAGAAGACCCUAUGAAUUUUUAUUUAUUUUUUAAUUUUUAAAAAUUAAAAAAUAAAUUUGAUUGGGGCGAUGGAUAAAGAGUAGAUAUCUUUAUUUAAAUUUAAAAAAU
rnacentral:rRNA from 1 species